rnacentral:rRNA from 1 species
UACGUAGGGGGGCAAGCGUUGUCCGGAUUUAUUGGGCGUAAAGAGCGUGUAGGCGGCCUUACAGGUCAGCUGUGAAAACUCGAGGCUCAACCUCGAGACGUCGGUUGAAACCGUAUGGCUAGAGUCCGGAAGAGGAGAGUGGAAUUCCCGGUGUAGCGGUGAAAUGCGCAGAUAUCGGGAAGAACACCCGUGGCGAAGGCGGCUCUCUGGGACGGUACUGACGCUGAGACGCGAAAGCGUGGGGAGCAAACAGG